rnacentral:rRNA from 1 species
UACGAAGGGGGCUAGCGUUGUUCGGAAUUACUGGGCGUAAAGCGCGCGCAGGCGGCUUCUCAAGUCAGGGGUGAAAGCCCAGAGCUCAACUCUGGAAUUGCCUUUGAGACUGAGAGGCUUGAGUACGGGAGAGGUGAGUGGAAUUCCCAGUGUAGAGGUGAAAUUCGUAGAUAUUGGGAAGAACACCAGUGGCGAAGGCGGCUCACUGGACCGUAACUGACGCUCAUGCACGACAGCGUGGGGAUCAAACAGG